GUGAGGAAUUUUCCGCAAUGGGCGAAAGCCUGACGGAGCAAUGCCGCGUGAAGGAUGAAGGCCUAUGGGUUGUAAACUUCUUUUCUUAGAGAAGAAUAUUGACGGUAUCUGAGGAAUAAGCAUCGGCUAACUCUGUGCCAGCAGCCGCGGUAAGACGAAGGGGGCGAGCGUUAUUCGGAAUCACUGGGCGUAAAGCGUGCGUAGGCGGUUUUGUAAGUUAGGAGUGAAAGCCCAGGGCUCAACCUUGGAAUUGCUCUUAAAACUGCAAGGCUCGAAUCUCGGAGAGGAUAGCGGAAUUUCCAGUGUAGCAGUGAAAUGCGUAGAUAUUGGAAGGAACACCAGUGGCGUAAGCGGCUAUCUGGACGAGUAUUGACGCUGAGGCACGAAAGCGUGGGGAUCAAACAGGAUUAGAAACCCCGGUAGUCC
rnacentral:rRNA from 1 species